CUCCCACAGCUCCAGGAAAGCGCUACUUAGCAAGAGGAGGUCUUGGGUUUAGAAGCCUAACUGCAUCAUUUAUCAGCUGCGUGACAUGACCUCCGGCGAGUUAUUUAAUAUCACUCCGCCUGGGUUCUCCCACCUUUGAGGUCAUGUAGUAACAGUGCCUGAUGUACCUCUUGGUGUUUUAAGGGAGGAUUCAAUGAGAUCAUGCAUGUAAACCUCACAGCAUGUCUAAGUUCUCAGUAAAUGCUGGUUAAGUUUAUUAUUGCCGUUUUGCUAUUUUCGGUAUGGUUACAACUCCCUGCCCUCCUCCUCCGCCCACGUUCCCACUCCUCCCCGCCCCCCCCCCCCCCAACAGUUCUUUGGCUUGCUCUCAACGUCUCCCUUUCGUCAGAGGGUGGAAACCUAAGAUAUGGCCGUCUAAGGGCCGUUGUGACAGUUUUAAUCAUGAACAGUUAUUACAGCAGCCAGCCAGCACAGGGAGUAAAAAGAACGAACCCCUUGGUGGGUGGUGACUAGGGGAUCGCUAACUGAUUUGGGAAAAACAUGAAUCUUGGUUUUCUUAAGAAUCCUUGCCACCUGCUUUGGGAUUCUCCUUGCCUGGUUCAUUCUGAAAUGAGGUGGUUGGAAGCCUUACGUCAAGAGGAAUGGGGCCACCGUGACCAGAGUGCCCACCUUUGAAUUGCAGGCAACAAGGUGAACCUCUUUCCAGCAUGAAAUGUUCUAUGAAGACCUUUGUAUGGAAGACCUGGCCUCAUUUACCAGGCACCCACUGAGGGACAUUCGAGUUACAUCCAGUUUGAGAUGGAGAAACAUGGGGCAGAGUCGUGACACAGCCCGUAAGGAGAAAGCCGGGAUUGAUCUCCCAUCUGUUUGACUCAGGACUUUUUCAUUUAGAAUAGGAAAUAUUAAUAUUAAAAUUGUUAUAUUAAAUAGUAAAGCUGGAGAACGCUCCAGAUCCCCUAAGCCAAUCCCCUCGCCUGACAAGGCCCAGAGUGGAAGGGACUUGCCCAAGGACAUACAGCAGGAUGGUGACAGAGCAGAGCCGGGGCUCCAGGCUCCUGAUGGCCACUCAGGAGCCAGAUGCCCGGUGCCCAGGGGUAAGGAGGCCUCUCCCAUUGGGAGGAGCCGGGGAGCUUAUGGGGGUGUGAGCAUCUCUGCAGCCCCGACCCAGGCCAGGUGCCAGGAGAAGCCACUGUUGUCACUGGCCACUGCAAUUACUCCUUUUGUCCAUAAUUCUACGUGCGGGUCUGCUCCCAACUCCUGCCUGGAUUUUCCUCCCUGCAGCUGCCCUCAGUGCCAAGGAAGGGUGACCAAAAGUGUCUGCUCUGGCUGCUGAGUCAACCGGUUCUGCAUUUCAGGCCCUGAACUACCCCCGCCCCUGCCCACCCCCACCCCCCCACCCCCCAGCGGCUCACGCCUUCCCAGUCUUGUUUUCAGGCUAGUUUUUUGUAAGGAUAUGUUUUAUUUAACCCAACAUAUGUAAAAAAAAAAAAGUGUGAUUUCAACAUACAGCCAAUACAAAUAAAGUGUUAACAGGGCAUUUUA